UCCUGCAAGAAUAGGAAACAAUAAAGUUUCAGCAAUGAAAUACUACUUCCAGAUCCAGAUAUGGCCGAUACAAGAUUUUUUCUGGACAAGACAGACUACUAGCUAGCAGACCAUGGACAUAUGAUAUGGAUCAGAAACGACCAAACAUGACAGAAACUCUUAUAUGAAAAUUAAAAAAAAAAAGCCUUAAAAACAAGGAUUCAGAGUGUUUAUCGGUGUCAGCGACUACUUUCUCCAAAUUAAGCGUCUAAUAUAUUGAUAAAGCUGUGCAGUGGACGUGGAAAAGUAAUUAAUUUCCAUAAGCUCCCAUUGGCAUAAUACUAAAAUCACAGACCAAAAAUGUAUGGUUGUUAAGGAAAACCAAACCCUUCCAAAACCUACAAUGGCAGGUGCUUCCCUGGAUAGGCUUGACCUUAUUUCAAAUACUACAACCAUUUAUUCAAUUAACUCCAGUUGGAAAUUCACUCCCUGACAGCCUUACUGAUUAAUUUUGCAGAUCACAUUCCAUAAUUCAACCAAAUGCAGAAAAGAAUAAACAUAUAAAUGAAAUUAGGCAAAGGCUAAGCAGUAAUUAUCCAAUUACCGAGCUUAGUAUUAACAUAUAUUGUAUCGCAACAAAGAGGAGGAGGAGGAGAAAUAUGAGUACUUGGCGGGGAUAAGAGCAAGAUAUGAAGAAGCAGUAGGAAUAAUCUGCACAACAAUGUGGCCGCCCACAAGCACCACGGCAAGCCCUUUACACAACUUAGUGAAGCCCCCUGUCAACACGCCCUAAUUCCAAAUACAACGCACCCAAUUCUCAAUCAAUUUCACAGAUCUAAGUUCAAUAAGGAAAACCAAACCCUUCCAAAACCUACAAUGGCAGGUGCUUCCCUGGAUAGGCUUGACCUUAUUUCAAAUACUACAACCAUUUAUUCAAUUAACUCCAGUUGGAAAUUCACUCCCUGACAGCCUUACUGAUUAAUUUUGCAGAUCACAUUCCAUAAUUCAACCAAAUGCAGAAAAGAAUAAACAUAUAAAUGAAAUUAGGCAAAGGCUAAGCAGUAAUUAUCCAAUUACCGAGCUUAGUAUUAACAUAUAUUGUAUCGCAACAAAGAGGAGGAGGAGGAGAAAUAUGAGUACUUGG
rnacentral:lncRNA from 1 species